rnacentral:lncRNA from 1 species
UUUUUAAUUAACCCUAUUUAAACUAAUGUUAUAUUUGUAUCUCUUUUCUUCUAUCCUGAACAUCUUGGAUCAUUGUAAUACUAACAUAGUGUUUGUUCUCUCACUCACUCUAUAUAGCAGCUGAUUAAUUUCAUAUCUCCUCCACUUUCCUUAUCAGGUCUCUCACACUCUGGGACUACUAUGCACCCAUGCUAAUCAUCUUGGGGCUGGAUACCAGACAACUGGAGACAGCCCCUAUGUCCUGGUGCUUGAGAAAUUAUUCAAAUUAUCCAACCUGCAGCAAGAUACCAUAUUUCAUUUAGUUGUCAUUUCUCCUUAAACUUCUCUUGGUUGUGAUAGUUUCUUAGAUUGUCUUUGUUUUUGAUGACCUGGACCAUUUUGAAGGCUACUAGACAGAAAGGGUCACUACAGAUUUUCUUUAAGCGGCACACACACCUCAUGCCAGAAUGCUGAAAUACGGAUUAUCUGGGCAUGUUUUCACUGAGAAAGGCAGAGCAAAUGAUGGAGGAGAGAGAGUAAAACAUAAAGGAGGUAACUGGUAACUGGAGAAGGGGAGGAAUCGAAAACAUAGCAAAGGGGGUCUUAGCUUAGCAAUUAGGAGCUCCAUUUUUUCUAUAAAUACCUUUAACCUUUAGAUGAUUAAUAGUUAGCAAAGCCUGACUGGCACUAACUUAGGAAAAUUAAAGACUUCCAUAUUUAUGGAUAAGAUCCUGACAAACUCAGAAACAUCUAUGCCCUUUUGCCACCUCACUUGUGAUCACUAUGAAAAGCUAAAAUAGUGUAGAAAUAUACCUGAGCUUAGAAAUUAGGAAAGAGUAACAUUCAAGUGCUAGCCCUGAGCUUGCAUCCCACCACAGUUCACUGUGUAUUAAGAAAAAUUAAUGAAAUGAAAUCAGUACCUAGAUCCAAGCAGGACACAUUUCUGAAUGUUAUGGAUUUAAAAGAUGGCAGGAACAUUCAGGCUAAAAUAUGGUAACAAGCCAAAACAAAAACAUUCCAUGUGGAUUACAAAAGCCAACUGGACUUCAAACUUCUCUCAAACAUUAACCUUAAAAUAAAAUCUAUGUAGGUUUGUCUAGCUAAUUUGUCCACUUCUGUAGGACACAGAGAUGACUGUUCAGUUAUGAAAGCACACAGACGGUAGAAAAAUCAUGUGCCUUAUUGAAAAUUUUCUUGAGGCAUUCAGUAAUUGAGCAGUAAGAUGAUUUGAAACCUCAAAAAGUAAAAUUGUCAUAAUUAUUGACAUCAGUUAAAUAUAAAAUUCAUAUUAUUUCCAACUAAUUUUAUUUUUAUUAACUUAUUAUAGGCAUAACAUGAACAAAAAUCACUGCAAAACACUCAUAAUAAAAAGCAGCAGUGUUUCCUAACCUCAUAGUCCCUUUCCUGGAGAUAGCUACUUUCCAUUCUUGAGACUGUUUCUUUUGGUGUUUUAAUCCACAUUUCUUUAUACCAUGCUUAUACCUCCAUUUCUUAAAUUAUGAAAUUGAGACACUAUGUAUUGGCUUUCUUUUAUUAGAGCUGAAUUAUCAACUUCGUUUU